UACGUAGGGUGCAAGCGUUAAUCGGAAUUACUGGGCGUAAAGCGUGCGCAGGCGGUUCUAUAAGACAGAUGUGAAAUCCCCGGGCUCAACCUGGGAACUGCAUUUGUGACUGUAGAGCUGGAGUGCGGCAGAGGGGGGAUGGAAUUCCGCGUGUAGCAGUGAAAUGCGUAGAUAUGCGGAGGAACACCGAUGGCGAAGGCAAUCCCCUGGGCCUGCACUGACGCUCAUGCACGAAAGCGUGGGGAGCAAACAGG
rnacentral:rRNA from 1 species